rnacentral:lncRNA from 1 species
AAAGCCAGCUGGGCUCCUGAGUCCGGUGGGUACUUGGAGAACUUACUACGUCUAGCUGGAGGAUUGUAAAUGCACCAAUCAGCAUGCUGUGUCUAGCUCAAGAACUCAAGCUCCAUGAGGAGAUGUUUCAUUGUCGAGAGCAGUCAUGAUGGCCUGCACUCCACACAAUGCAACAGAGUGAAAGAGCAGGUUCUGCUUCUUUGGUGUAGUCCUGAAGCUUCCUAAGAAACUUCACAUCAGGUGAUGGAUAGGAGCAACCCUGUAAAACCAGCCUUAGACUAUUUUUCAAACAGGCUGGUGAAUUACCAGAUCUCCGUCAAGUGCAGUAACCAGUUCAAGUUGGAAGUGUGUCUUUUGAAUGCAGAAAACAAAGUCGUGGACAACCAGGCUGGGACCCAGGGCCAGCUGAAGGUGCUGGGUGCCAACCUCUGGUGGCCGUACCUGAUGCACGAACACCCCGCCUACCUGUACUCGUGGGAGGAUGGUGAUUGCUCACACCAAAGCCUUGGACCCCUCCCAGCCUGUGACCUUUGUGACCAACUCCACCUACGCAGCAGACAAGGGGGCUCUGUAUGUGGAUGUGAUCCGUGUGAACAGCUACUACUCUUGGUAUCGCAACUACGGGCACCUGGAGUUGAUUCAGCUGCAGCUGGCCGCCCAGUUUGAGAAUUGGUGUAAGACAUCACAAUCCCAUUAUUCAGAGCGCGUAUGGAGUGGAAACGCUUGUAGGGCUUCACCAGGUAAGCGGUGUUGAACUUUCUGCUUGUGUAUUCUCUCUGGGCAGAGAUGCCACUUGCCUCCCCCACCAUGCCAUCUCUGAAGAAUAUUACAGACCAUUUUGGAGCAUGGUGAAUAAGAAAUUUUCACCUUAGGAGUUCAGUUGAAUAGUCAUUUUUAUAUUUGUGACUGCAAGUCACUCUUAGGGGCUGUACUUCCUUAGUACUGGUAGCAUUAUUAUCCAAUGGACUUUUAUAGCUUUCAUUAGGUUUUCUUUUGUUUUUGUUCUUUAAAGAACGUUUUACUUAUCUUAGUAUUUCAUUUUUCAUCUAUAUUAUGAGGCAGUAAGAGUCUUCUGUUUUUCCAAAGUUGAGACUGCUUUAUAUUUAUUUCGUAUUGUCUACAGCUGUAGUGUUCAAUACAUUAGCCACUAGCCACAUGUGGUUAUUUAAAUAAGAUAAAAUAAAAAUUGGCCGGGCGUGGUGGCUCACGCCGGUAAUCCCAGCACUUUGGGAGGCCGAGGCGGGCAGAUCAUUAGGUCAGGAGAUCGAGACCAUCCUUACUAAGACGGUGAACCCCCAUCUCUAUUAAAAAUACAAAAAAUUAGCCGGGCGUGGUGGCGGGCGCCUGCAGUCCCAGCUACUCAGGAGGCUGAGGCAGGAGAAUGGCGUGAACCUGGGAGGCAGAGUUUGCAGUGAGCCGAGAUGGCGCCACUGCACUCCAGCCUGGGGGACAGAGCGAGACUCCAUCUC